UCCAUUUCAGAUCCUUAAAACUCAUUUUUUUUCAUUUGAGGGGAAAAUAAGAGCACGAUCUCAUGUCACUGUUUGGUUUUUUAUUUCCAGUUGUUCAUAUAAGUUUUACCUGAUCAUGAAAAUAAAUUUUCAGAGGAGAUAACUGUACUUUCCUUAAUAUCUUCGAAGAAGUAAGUUCUUGUACCGGAGUCCAAGGAAUUCAUUACUCUUAACUUUCAUGUUUGGUGAAUACCAAUAUUAAUGAUAUUUAAUUCUGUCUUUUAUGUUUGCCUCUUUCAUCAAUACAUUCAACUUCAGUCACCUGAAUGGAAGAAA